AGAACGAACGCUGGCGGCAUGCCUAACACAUGCAAGUCGAACGUGAUCCAGGCUUCGGCCUGGUGAAAGUGGCAGACGGGUGAGUAACGCGUGGGAACCUGCCCUGUGGUAGGGAAUAACCGUGGGAAACUGCGGCUAAUACCCUAUGAGUCCUUCGGGAGAAAGAUUUAUCGCCAUAGGAGGGGCCCGCGUCGGAUUAGGUAGUUGGUGGGGUAACGGCCUACCAAGCCUUCGAUCCGUAGCUGGUCUGAGAGGAUGAUCAGCCACACUGGGACUGAGAUACGGCCCAGACUCCUACGGGAGGCAGCAGUGGGGAAUAUUGGACAAUGGGGGCAACCCUGAUCCAGCAAUGCCGCGUGGAUGAUGAAGGCCUUCGGGUUGUAAAGUCCUUUCGGCGGGAAGAUGAUGACGGUACCGCAGAAGAAGCCCCGGCUAACUUCGCGCCAGCAGCCGC
rnacentral:rRNA from 1 species